GGAAAGAUGAAAAGAACUUUGAAAAGAGAGUUAAACAGUACGUGAAAUUGUUGAAAGGGAAACGAUUGAAGUCAGUCAUACCAACGGGAAAUCAACCUUUUGAGUUCGUUCUUGUGGGUUUCGAGGAGUUUAAAAGCCUUCUGAUUUGUGAGGAUUGGGCUCUUUUGGUGUACUUUCUCGUACGGUUAGUCAACAUCGGUUUUGAAUGUCAUAAAAUGAUUGGAGGAAUGUGGCUUCGAUCUCGUAUCGAAGUGUUAUAACCUUUGGUAGAUGUGAUGUUCGAGACCGAGGAUUGCAACGGAUACCUUUCAGGCUAUUCGUCUGAUCUCUGAUACGUUGCCUUGAUGUCGAAAGCGUGCUUAUGAUGUUAGGGUAUUACGGUCAAAAGGUUAGAACGGAUUAAAUUCGUUAAGGAUGUUGACGUAAUGACUUUAAACGACCCGUCUUGAAACACGGACCA
rnacentral:rRNA from 1 species